rnacentral:rRNA from 1 species
CCUACGGGCGGCAGCAGUGGGGAAUAUUGCACAAUGGGGGAAACCCUGAUGCAGCGACGCCGCGUGAGUGAAGAAGUAAUUCGUUAUGUAAAGCUCUAUUCGUAGGGAAGAAAAAUACGGUAAGUGAGUAAGAAGCCCCGGCUAACUACGUGCCCGCCGCCCCGGUAAUACGGAGGGGGCCAGGGUUAUACGGAUUUACUGGGUGUAAAGGGGGCGUAGAUGGGAGGGCAAGUCUGGAGUGAAAGGCGGGGGCUCAACCCCCGGAUUGCACGGGAAACUGGACGGCUGGAGUACAGGAGAGGUAAGUGGAAUUCCGAGUGUAGCGGUGAAAUGCUUAGAUAUUAGGAGGAACACCAGUUGCGAAGGCAGCUUACUGGACUGUAACUGACGUUGAGGCUCGAAAGCGUGGGUAGCAAACAGGAUUAGAUACCCGAGUAGUC